UACGUAGGGUGCAAGCGUUAAUCGGAAUUACUGGGCGUAAAGCGUGCGCAGGCGGCUUUGCAAGACAGAUGUGAAAUCCCCGGGCUCAACCUGGGAACUGCAUUUGUGACUGCAUGGCUGGAGUGCGGCAGAGGGGGAUGGGAUUCCGCGUGUAGCAGUGAAAUGCGUAGAUAUGCGGAGGAACACCGAUGGCGAAGGCAAUCCCCUGGGCCUGCACUGACGCUCAUGCACGAAAGCGUGGGGAGCAAACAGG
rnacentral:rRNA from 1 species